rnacentral:lncRNA from 1 species
CAAAAGGCCAGAACAGAGCUGUUCACCUGGAUGUGAUUACGCAUCCGACAGAAAUGAUAGGGGCCUGCAGGGAUAUGAUACACUUGUCACUGACCAAAGAGACUCAGUCAUCUGGCUCAGUCUCUCCCCAGAUAAGUAACUUUCAGAUGUGUCCUGUGGUCCUUGGCAAACUGUCAGGAAAUCAAGUGUAGAGCUGAUUGAUGAAUUUCCUUUUUCCUAAACACACACAUAUACACACACACAUACACGCACACACACUGUCUCUCCUCAAACCCUCAGGAAAUUUGGCUUCAUCCUCUGAGAGAGUCUGUGCUGUUGGAAUGCCUGCCUGUGUCUUGGCAUCACCUCUGUGCUGGGACGUGUGUUUGCCAUUUACAUCCUUCACUCGUGAGGACCAUGAUGAAAUGUGAAACUGGCUGGGACCCAGUUCCCGUUCACCCAGGCUGCACUGAGUAGGCGCCAGCUGCGUGCAGAGCAGUCGCCUCGCAGGAGACAGGGCGUGUGAGCCCUGUGGCAAAGCCCCUCUCUCUUUUAGUCUUAGAGUAUGCUCUGUGAUGAACAGUUACAGCUUCAAGGAAGGAAAUCACACUCAAAUUCCUCAUAAGGGUUAGUGUUCCCACCCUCCUCCUUUCUCCUGACGCUUUGGAAGGAAAUCAUCUAGUACCAGCUCCAGGCUCCUGGUCUGCUAGACCAGUUCUCGGCUCCUCCCGGCUCUGAAAUGUGGCUCAGCUCUGCCCCAGCUCUUUCUCUUUGUUAGAUCCUGGGCAGAAAUGUCAAGGCCUUUCAUCAUCUUGGGCCCCCAGUUCAGAGAGAACUCCAUCUAUUAUUACUAGAACCAUCUACUGUAUAGAACAUAUAUUGGAAUACUAUACAGGAAAACCAUUUUCAAAACCACCUAUAAUUUCCCACCUAGAUAACUGCUGUUUAUGUUUUGGCGUGUUUUUCUGACAGACUGCAUUCUCAGUGGGCCCUUAAAAUGCCACAGAGCUGUGCACUGUGAGCAAAGUUAAAUACUGUGAAACUGGGGGCCCAGGUGCUAGGGAAGGUUUCAUUUUUGCUCCCCUUGGAAAGAGGAGCUCAGGGGUGGGGGCACUCAG